UGAUUAGAAAAUGAAGGACUGAAACCUCAGCUCUAAUUAUUAAAAGGCUCUCACAUGAGCUCUGACUAGUAAAAGUCCCUCAGGUGUCAUCACUGAUAGCCAGCUGAGUGGGGUUUCCUAUGAAGAGGAUAAAGCAAGAAGCCUAAACUUAGUAUAUAUAGAGAGGACCAUUUGUUUUUAGUGUAGUACUAAAUGGGAAUGUAGUUUGGGAUCUGUGAUUUUGGGUAGACUUGUGAAACAGUAGGUAAAGUAAAUGUGCUUGAUCAAAAGAUUCCCUGUGAUAAACUGGAUUUGCUUUUAAUCUCAUGCAGCCACAGGAUACUAACCUGAAUGCAGGGAUAACUGGAUGGGAUUACAUCAGCUGUCUUGAUUAGGAGACGUUAACCUUGGCCUUUAAAAAUUUUAUAAUUCCUGUGCACAUUAGACAAGCCUAUGGCCUUAGAUGUCAACUGGACUUCCUAAAGAAUAAAGUUGAGGUUCCCUGUGGGCAAGGGCUGAGCUUCAGUGCACCUCAAUGGAAGCACUAACAAGUUCUGUGGGAGGAUGGACAGGAACAGGCAGAGUGUCGAUGCUGAUCUGCUUUGAGCAGGUGCACCACUUCCCACAUCAUAAAGCUCCUCCAGGUGGGUCAGGUGAAGGCAGUGCAGAUAGGAGGCAGCAAGCCAGCUGCUUGCGGUCCCUCAGUCUCUGCACCCUCUGGGGUGGCCCUGCAGCCCUGCAAGUCUCCCCAGGCACCUGCUAUGCUUUCCUCCAGCCUUCACUGGGCCAGGCCUGGGGAGCCUUGAGCGUUGGUGCCUGAGGUCCUCCAGGAAAUGCUGCUUCUCACCUGAUGUUGCCAUGGCAAUGGGGAAAUGGGCUGUGUUUUGGGCUCUUGGCAACUGUAUCUGAAGGGAGUGGCCAGUACAUAGGUACAUAAAUCAGCCAUGCUCCACACACCUGCACUAUUAUUGAGUGUAUGUGUAUAUACACGCACACAUAUAUAUACAUAAAAGAGUAAACAUUAUUCUUCAUAUACAUGU